GGGGAUGACGGNACCCGAAGAAUAAGCACCGGCUAAUUACGUGCCAGCAGCCGCGGUAAUACGUAGGGUGCGAGCGUUAAUCGGAAUUACUGGGCGUAAAGCGUGCGCAGGCGGUUGUGCAAGACAGAUGUGAANUCCCCGGGCUUAACCUGGGAACUGCAUUUGUGACUGCACGACUGGAGUGUGGCAGAGGGGGAUGGAAUUCCGCGUGUAGCAGUGAAAUGCGUAGAUAUGCGGAGGAACACCGAUGGCGAAGGCAUUCCCCUGGGCNUGCACUGACGNUCAUGCACGAAAGCGUGGGGAGCAAACAGGAUUAGAUACCCCUGGUAGUCCACGCCCUAAACGAUGUCAACUGGUUGUUGGGAAGGUUCNUUUCUCAGUAACGUAGCUAACGCGUGAAGUUGACCGCCUG
rnacentral:rRNA from 1 species